rnacentral:rRNA from 1 species
GACGAACGCUGGCGGCGUGCUUAACACAUGCAAGUCGAGCGGUAAGGCCCUUUCGGGGUACGACGAGCGGCGAACGGGUGAGUAACACGUGGGUGACCUGCCCUUAGCUCUGGGAUAAGCCUGGGAAACUGGGUCUAAUACCGGAUAUGACUCCAUGACGCAUGUUGUGGGGUGGAAAGCCUUGUGCGGCUAGGGAUGGGCCCGCGGCCUAUCAGCUUGUUGGUGGGUGACGGCCACCAAGGCGACGACGGUAGCCGGCCUGAGAGGGCGACCGGCCACACUGGGACUGAGACAC